rnacentral:lncRNA from 1 species
UCCACCAUGUUGGGUUUGUAGUUCCGGAGGGUUUUGGCAGCAAAGAAAACGUCCACCAAGUUGUGGCAGCGGAUCAUCUCCAGGACCGUGGCGCAGGCGCAGAAGGUGCCGCUGCGUCCUCCCCCGUUUCUGAAUGAGAGAUGCAAAAGCUGAGGGGCGGGGCCUUGGAACCUGAAGGCGAAACAGACUGCGGAUUCUGAGAGAAAGGAGGCCAGACACACUCCAAGAGAAACACCCGGAGAGACAAAGACAGUGACAAAGAAGGGCGGAGGAGCAGCAAGCGCGUACCCAGAGAGCAAGGUGGAACAGG